AUGAACGCUAGCGGCAGGCUUAAUACAUGCAAGUCGUGGGGCAGCAUGAGUAGCAAUACUUGAUGGCGACCGGCAAACGGGUGAGGAACACGUACACAACCUUCCUUCAAGCGGGGAAUAGCCCAGAGAAAUUUGGAUUAAUACCCCAUAAUAUAUUUGAUAAGGCAUCUUAUUAAUAUUAAAAGCUUCGGCACUUGAUGAUGGGUGUGCGGCUGAUUAGAUAGUUGGCGGGGUAACGGCCCACCAAGUCUACGAUCAGUAGCUGAUGUGAGAGCAUGAUCAGCCACACGGGCACUGAGACACGGGCCCGACUCCUACGGGAGGCAGCAGUAAGGAAUAUUGGACAAUGGACGAAAGUCUGAUCCAGCCAUGCCGCGUGAAGGAUUAAGGUCCUCUGGAUUGUAAACUUCUUUUAUAUGGGACGAAAAAGGGCAUUCUUGUUCACUUGACGGUACCAUAUGAAUAAGCACCGGCUAACUCCGUG
rnacentral:rRNA from 1 species